rnacentral:rRNA from 1 species
GAUCCUGGCUCCGGAUGAACGCUAGCUACAGGCUUAACACAUGCAAGUCGAGGGGCAUCAGGGUGUAGCAAUACACCGCUGGCGACCGGCGCACGGGUGAGUAACACGUAUCCAACCUGCCCUUUACUCGGGGAUAGCCUUUCGAAAGAAAGAUUAAUACCCGAUGGCAUAACAUGACCUCCUGGUUUUGUUAUUAAAGAAUUUCGGUAGAGGAUGGGGAUGCGUUCCAUUAGGCAGUUGGCGGGGUAACGGCCC